rnacentral:ncRNA from 1 species
UGAUACCUGCCACCGGGUAGGAGAAAUGCAAACAGCAUUCAUUACACAUCGUUAGGUCUUAGAAGAUGUGCAUAUGAAUGCUUGUUUUUA